AGGUGAUGGUGGUGAUGAGAUCCAGGAGGAACUUCUCGAAGUAGUUUAAAAGAUAGGGUAACAAUUUUUGGGCCUGUUCAUCAUGGGGAAGAGUCUUGGUGCAGCAGCGGGAGAUGGCUGGUUUACAGUGCAUCUGCAACCAAGUAGCAGAGAGUGACAGUUCCAUUCCGGAUCCUCCUGCCUGAGCCCUGGGUGCUGGGAUGAUAGGCUAUGUGUUUAUCUUCUUCUUGUGACUAUGUCCGUGGCCAGCAGGUCCUGACCAUCCAAGAUGUCAGAAGAUGAAGGCUACAGAUGAAUUGGAAGGAAGAAGAGAACCAGAGCCCCCCCCCCGGGGGGGGCGUCUAUAGACUUCUAAAGUGGUAUAGCCUAAUCCCUCCUCCCCCAUUUCUUCCCUCUUUCUGCCGUGGGUCUCAUCCUGAGGACCGGUGGCAAGCUAGCUUCCUGAGGAAAGCCGUGGUGCUGCUCCCUUGGCUGACCUUGAGUUUAUAUCUCCAUCCACUCGGUACCAGUAGGCCCAAGAGCCCAUAAUUAGCCUAAUAAGGUGUCUGUUGCGCACACGGCUGUGCCUAGACUCCGUUCUGAUGGCUACCUAGUAAUUUGCCUGAUCUUUCGGAUAAGGCCUUUGCCUGGACAGGUUCCUACCACAAAGCACCCCAUCUCAGGGUGGAGCAUGUAAUUGCUGCUGCUCUGCACACACUCUGCCUUCCCAUCUGCCCGGGGACUUAGGAGUCCUCAGAGGCCUGUCUUCACAUCAGGAAAACCCACUAAGCCGAGGAAGGUGCCAUGCAGGGGACAGGGCAGACCAAACAGACUGCAUUGCCGGCCAUUAGAAGGCAUGGAAGAAGAGACAGGCAGACCUAGCCAGCUGCUGGCCUUCGGUACUGUGGAAGGGAGUGGUGAGUGUCCAGGGGAUGCUCUCUCUGUCUGUGAGUCUGUCCCUCACUGUUCACUCAUAUUCACCUACAGCGCCUGUUUUAGGGACCCCGCAGGUGCCCCUACCCCAAUUCCACCUGCCGUAGAUAUGCAUUGGCUCCUGGGCCCCACAGGGAAGGAACUCUUCCCAGGGCUUUGAGGCCCUUUUGGCUUCCAGACCUCCCCAAGCACUUUGGUAUUUGCACCACAACAACACAUCCACAGCCUGCAAAGCCUGGAUACUGAUGUUAGAACAGGACUGUUGGCCCUGGAGGUCUAAGCAGGAGGCCAAAGAUGCUGUGGCCCACAAGCAAGAGGAUUAAUAGAGCACUGUCUCCAGCUCUUUCACCCAGGCAGCCCCAGGCAGUCCUGGGCUGGAAGAACUGGCAGUGGGGUGCUGCCCCUAUGGCUUCCU